rnacentral:rRNA from 1 species
AGGGAAUCUUCCGCAAUGGGCGAAAGCCUGACGGAGCAACGCCGCGUGAGUGGUGAAGGUCUUCGGAUCGUAAAACUCUGUUAUUAGGGAAGAACAUAUGUGUAAGUAACUGUGCACAUCUUGACGGUACCUAAUCAGAAAGCCACGGCUAACUACGUGCCAGCAGCCGCGGUAAUACGUAGGUGGCAAGCGUUAUCCGGAAUUAUUGGGCGUAAAGCGCGCGUAGGCGGUUUUUUAAGUCUGAUGUGAAAGCCCACGGCUCAACCGUGGAGGGUCAUUGGAAACUGGAAAACUUGAGUGCAGAAGAGGAAAGUGGAAUUCCAUGUGUAGCGGUGAAAUGCGCAGAGAUAUGGAGGAACACCAGUGGCGAAGGCGACUUUCUGGUCUGUAACUGACGCUGAUGUGCGAAAGCGUGGGGAUCAAACAGGAUUAGAUACCCUGGUAGUCCACGCCGUAAACGAUGAGUGCUAAGUGUUAGGGGGUUUCCGCCCCUUAGUGCUGCAGCUAACGCAUUAAGCACUCCGCCUGGGGAGUACGACCGCAAGGUUG